UACGGAGGGGACUAGCGUUGUUGGGGAAUACACGGCGUAAAGUGCACGUAGGCGGAUUUGUAAGUCAGGGGUGGAAUCCCGAGCCUCAACCUCGGAACUGCAUUUGAUACUGCAAAUCUCGAGUCCGGAAGAGGUGAGUGGAAUUCCUAGUGUAGAGGAGAAAUUCGUAGAUAUUAGGAAGAACACCAGAGGUGAAGGCGGCUCACUGGUCCGGUACUGACGCUGAGGGGCAUGAGCAUGGUGAGCAACCAGG
rnacentral:rRNA from 1 species